CAAAUGAAAAAACAAAUGAAAAAAACAGAAUAGCUCGCUAAGUUGAAAACCCGAAAGGGCGGCUUAGGCAAAAAUGAGCGUCUCGGUGGAGAACCCGCAAGGGUAAUCCAGGCAAAAAUUAGAGACUAGAAAAAAGAGAAUAUUUGCAUCCCGCUAGAUUGAGUACCUCACCCUGGGGCAAUCUAGGCAAAAAUUAGGGAUUUGGCAAGUAACUGCAUCCUGACAAGACUUUCUGGUUCAUCAGUCGUCAUUUCGUCAGAAGAUUCUCG
rnacentral:lncRNA from 1 species